GUUAGAGAUUAAUACCAAACUAAUUUGAUGUUAAUCUACUCUAGUCUAAUAGUUGGAGAAGGUGUUCCUCAAGUCACUCACAGCCACAUAAAGUUAUCUAGCCUUUACAGAAAAAUUCAUGCAAAGACUAGCGCAAAUCAGGGACUUGGAGGUGCUAGCCUGCAAGCAACUUCAACAGCUGAUCUCUUCUUCUUCAAGCACCUUGGACACUCCAAAGUAAUAGAAGAUCUGAAGGA
rnacentral:lncRNA from 1 species